rnacentral:ncRNA from 1 species
AAAGCUCCAAGGUGUGGUUUUCUUCCAUUUUUCUCAUCCUUCUUAACUUUCUCGACAAUUCCAAGUAAGUCUCUUCACUUUUCGCCUAGUGGUGUGCACCUGUCGUCUCGUCCCUUCUGCCGUCGAUGCGCUCUUGGCCCUAACUGGCCGAGUCUUGGUUCCAGCGCUGUUACUUUGAAGAAAUUAGAGUGCUCAAAGCAAGCCUACGCUCUGUAUACAUUAGCAUGGGAUAACAUCAUAGAAUUUCAGUCCUAUUCUGUUGGCCUUCGGGAUCGGAGUAAUGAUUAACAGGGACAGUCAGGGGCAUUCGUAUUUCAUAGUUAGAGGUGAAAUUCUUGGAUUUAUGAAAGAUGAACUGCAAAAGCAUUUGUUAAGGAUGUUUUCAUUAAUCAAGAAGGAAAGUUGGGGGCUCGAAGAUGAUUAGAUACCAUCCUAGUCUCAACCAUAAAUGAUGCAGAAUGAACCCGCGAACAUGUU